AUUGAACGCUGGCGGCAUGCCUUACACAUGCAAGUCGAACGGUAACAGGUCUUCGGAUGCUGACGAGUGGCGAACGGGUGAGUAAUGCAUCGGAACGUGCCCAGACGUGGGGGAUAACGAGGCGAAAGCUUUGCUAAUACCGCAUACGAUCUAAGGAUGAAAGCAGGGGACCGCAAGGCCUUGUGCGUUUGGAGCGGCCGAUGGCAGAUUAGGUAGUUGGUGGGAUAAAAGCUUACCAAGCCGACGAUCUGUAGCUGGUCUGAGAGGACGACCAGCCACACUGGGACUGAGACACGGCCCAGACUCCUACGGGAGGCAGCAGUGGGGAAUUUUGGACAAUGGGCGAAAGCCUGAUCCAGCAAUGCCGCGUGCAGGAUGAAGGCCUUCGGGUUGUAAACUGCUUUUGUACGGAACGAAAAGGCUCUGGCUAAUACCUGGGGCACAUGACGGUACCGUAAGAAUAAGCACCGGCUAACUACGUG
rnacentral:rRNA from 1 species